rnacentral:rRNA from 1 species
CACGUAGGGCGCAAGCGUUGUCCGGAAUUAUUGGGCGUAAAGAGCUCGUAGGUGGUUUGUUGCGUCGGCUGUGAAAUCCCGAGGCUCAACCUCGGGUCUGCAGUCGAUACGAGCAAACUAGAGUGUUGCAGGGGAGACUGGAAUUCCUGGUGUAGCGGUGAAAUGCGCAGAUAUCAGGAGGAACACCGAUGGCGAAGGCAGGUCUCUGGGCCACUACUGACGC